UUCAUCGACAAUUUAUAUACCUGCCUCUACCUCUUCGGGGCGUAACGUGCCGCAACGUCAAUCCACGGCAAAUAAAAAAAUUUCCAACGGGAGAAAAAAAAAAAAAAAAAUUAAAAAAAAAAAAGGGAAAUAAAAAAAAACGUUUGCUCAACUAGCUGUGUGCACACGAAAAAAAACAUCUGUUCAAUUGAACGCGACUUACAUACAUGACCGGAAACUAUGACGUAUAAGUCGUAUACCAGCAGCUAUAGGAUAAGAAAGACACCUUUAUGUGGGGAUGAAUACCGGUCUUCAUAUAUUCACCGAACGACAGAGAGAAAAGUUUUAUAAAUUAUUUCGCCACAAUCUUUCAUUGUCAACACUUGUCCACAUGAAGCUGUAAAUUCUUGUUCCAACUAGUUUCGUUUGAUUGUAACGAGAUCUAAUAAAUUCCUAUACAUCGAU